rnacentral:lncRNA from 1 species
UUUCUUGGGCCACUCCCUCGGCAUAUGGAGGUUUUCAGGCUAGGGGUCGAAUCGGAGCUGUAGCUGCCGGCCUACACCACAGCCACAGCAACUCAGGGAUCCGAGCCGCGUCUGCAACCUACACCACAGCUCACAGCAAUGCUGGAUCCCCAAUCCACUGAGCAAGGCCAGGGAUCGAACCCGCAACCUCAUGGUUCCUAGUUGGAUUCGUUGACCACUGAGCCAUGACGGGAACUCCAUGGGUUGAGUUUCUUAAGGCAGGAGCACACAAAGUUCAAGACAGGAGAAAGGAGUUUCAGGUAUUUGUAAAAUGAUGGAUCAAGGAGUCUAGGCUGGCUUGGAGUUGGUGGUAGGGAAAGCAAAAGAUAGGAGCUAAUGAAUUCAGUUUCUAGAAAGAUUCCUGACCUGAAGGUCUGCACCAAGUCAAAAGCAAUUACUAAGCAAAGGACUGGUUAGGUCACUGGUUUGUGUGUAUUUCUUUUUUUUCCGGCUGCCCCUGGAAGUUCCCAGUCAAGGGGUCCAAUCAGAGCUGCACCUGCCAGCCUACACCACAGCUAUGGCAGUGCCUGAUCGGAGCCACAUCCGUGACCCACACUACAGCUUGUGGCAACACUGGACCCUUAAACCACUGAGUGAGGCCAGGGAUUGAACCUGCAUCCCCACCAACACUAUACUGGGUUCUUAACCCAUUGAGCCCCAGUGGGAACUCCUGUAUGUAUUUAAGCAAGGUACGACAACAGGUUUGGGUGGGAGGAGCUGAGAAGAAAAGGUCAAAGGGAAAGGAAUAGGAACUAAGGUGUGGGAUGGGUCCAGAAUUAACACAGCAGGCCUUUUAUCUUUUAUAAAGUCUGCUUACAAGUUAGACCUGGGCUGGCAGCUAGAAACUUGGAUUUGAGGGUUUCCAUCAUUCCCAGAACUGAUAAAAAUCAUUCACUGUGCCGAAACUGUUUGUACAAUCAAUGCGGUUUACUUGUACUAAUUUACUUCUGGGAGUUUGGGAUUUUGGUAUGUGCCAAGCAGAAGGCGCCUACAUAAUCAGCCCCUGAUCCAAACGCUGGGCCUAGAGUCUCUGAUGAGCUUCCCUGGUAGACAACAUUCCACACAUGUUGGAACAACUCGUCCAGGGAAAUGAAGUGCCUCCUUUGUGACUCCACUUUGGAAAUUCUGAGCCUGGUUUACUCCAGACUUUGCCUAUGUGUCUUUUCCUUUGCCGAUUUUGCUUUGCAUCUUUUCGCCGGAAGAAAUCAUAGCCAUGAGUAUGGUUAUCUUGGGGACUUCCAGCACAGAUGAGUAAAUCACACAAACGCUGAAAUGAUUUAGGAUAAAGUGUAGAGGAAGAGGAAGGUGGGUAUAAUUGAAGAGGAUGGGUAGUAAUCAAGCCCUUAGGUAAUCAUAACCAAGAGUGAGGGGAUCACAUAAACCUCAACAGAGUGAGUAGGGAUUUUAACAGGAGCGGAGGGAGCAAGGACAAGCAGCGCACAACAAGCCCAUAUCCUGAACCUAGGUUUGCAGGGCAAGGAAUACUCCAGUGCUGCUACUGGGAAGGGUGGUAGGUGGAGCAGUGUCCUUAGCGGACAAAGGUUAGUUCCACAGAGGAGGAUCAACUCUCCAUCUGCUCUAAUGCAUACACCAUUUACAGCACCUCAGGACUUUUCUGGUAUUUAUUUAGCCUUUUUAGGGCUGCCACUUGCAGCAUAUGGGAAGUUCCCAGGCUAGGGGUAAAACUGGAGCUAUAGCUGCCAGAUACUACAGCCACAGCAAUGAGGGAUCCAAGUUGCGUCUGUGACCUACACCAUAGCUCACGGCAAUGCUAGAUCCUUAACCUACUGAGCAAGGCCAGGGAUCGAACCCUCAUCCUCAUGGAUACAAGGGUUAACCACUGACCCACAAUAGGAAAUCCUGGUACUUUAUUCUUGGUAACAAGUUACUUGCAGUAGCACACUGGUGUGGAGUGACACCAGAGCUAGUCACUGUUAUCUUUCACAAUACUCAAAGUCCGUAAGAGGUAAAAGUCAAUGCUCCUCUCACCCACUCUGACUUCUCCUGUGGAGGAAAAAAGUGUCAGCAUUAUUUUAACAGCCACAAGCUAGAAAUGACCCAAAUGUAGCAUUAGCAGUAGAAUGGAUAAAUUGUGGUCUAUUAACACAAUGGAAUAUCAUACUCCAACAAAAAUGAACAAACCACUGCCAAAUGCAAUAUGGAUGAAAUCUCUCAAACACCAUGUUGAGCAAAGAAGCUAAGCACAAAAGAGUAUAUGCGGCAUAAUUCCAUUUAUAUAAAGACUGAAAACAGGAGUUCUCCUAGUGGUGCAGCAGGUUAAGGAUCUGGCGUUGUCACCGCAGUGCACUGGAUCAUUGCUGUGGCCCAGGUUCAAUCUCUGGCCCAAGAACUUUCUUUUUUUUUUUUUUUUUUUGUCUUUUUGUCUUUUGUUGUUGUUGUUGUUGCUAUUUCUUGGGCCGCUCCCGCGGCAUAUGGAGGUUCCCAGGCUAGGGGUUGAAUCGGAGCUGGAGCCCCCCGCCUACGCCAGAGCCACAGCAACGCAGGAUCCGAGCCGCAUCUGCAACCUACACCACAGCUCACGGAAACGCCGGAUUCUUAACCCACUGAGCAAGGGCAGGGACCGAACCCGCAACCUCAUGGUUCCUAGUCAGAUUCGUUAACCACUGCGCCACGACGGGAACUCCUGACUGGGAUUUUUGAAAACUCCCUGGUUGAUUCUCCUGGAAGCCAGGAUGGAGGAAGCUUUGAGACAAAGUCCUCUCUAGCAUUUUCCACUGCGCCACGACGGGAACUCCUUUUUUUUUUUUUUUUUUUUUUUGUCUUUUUGUCUUUUGUUGUUGUUGUUGUUGCUAACCAAGAACUUUCGAAUUCCAUGAACACAGCCAAAAGGGGGUGAGGGGCUGGGGGGACGGGAACAAAAACAAGCAAAAGCAAUCUAUGUUGUUAGAAGUCAGGAUUGUGGUUAACUUUGAGGGGGUAGGGGCCGCUGGAAGGAAUUUUAGGUGGCUUUUGGGUACUGUUUACAUGGGAAGUUAUGGUAUAUAUGCUCUUCUGUGUUCU